rnacentral:rRNA from 1 species
AGAGUUUGAUCCUGGCUCAGGAUGAACGCUGGCGGCGUGCCUAAUACAUGCAAGUCGAGCGGUAAGGCUUCAACAGGCUAUUUGAUUGCGCCAGGUCGCGAAACUUCUUUAGAAGUUUCGCAUCACAAACGAAGGAGGAACGACGGCUGUCGGUCCCGAAUGUGAGUGAAGUGCCCGGUACAAGCUUUCGUAACAGAGAGCGAAAUCAAAUUGCGUGUUGAAGUACACGAGCGGCGGACGGCAGAGUAACGCGUAGGAACGUACCCCAAACUGAGGGAUAAGCACCGGAAACGGUGUCUAAUACCGCAUAUUAUCUUCGGAUCAAAGCCUUCGGGCGGUUUGGGAGCGGCCUGCGUAUGAUUAGCUUGUUGGUGAGGUAAUAGCUCACCAAGGCGACGAUCAUUAGCUGGUCUGAGAGGAUGAUCAGCCUGACUGGAACUGAGAACGGUCCAGACUCCUACGGGAGGCAGCAGUAGGGAAUUUUCCGCAAUGGACGAAAGUCUGACGGAGCAACGCCGCGUGCAGGAGGAAGGCCUUCGGGUUGUAAACUGCUUUUAACGGGGACGAUUAUGACGGUACCCGUAGAAUAAGGAUCGGCUAAUUCCGUGCCAGCAGCCGCGGUCAUACGGAAGAUCCGAGCGUUAUCCGGAAUUACUGGGCGUAAAGAGUUGCGUAGGUGGCAUAUAAAGCGAAUAGUGAAAGGUCCCGGCUCAACCGGGGAUACAUUGUUCGAACUUAUAAGCUAGAGCAUAGUAGAGGUACCUGGAAUUCCCAGUGUAGGAGUGAAAUCCGUAGAUAUUGGGAGGAACACCGAUGGCGUAGGCAGGGUACUGGGCUAUUGCUGACACUAAGGCACGAAAGCGUGGGGAGCGAACGGGAUUAGAUACCCCUGUAGUCC